rnacentral:rRNA from 1 species
AAACAUAGCUCUAUGAAAAUUAAUAUAAAGUUAUACCUGCCCAAUGAUAUUAUUUUAAUGGCCGCAGUACUUUGACUGUGCUAAGGUAGCAUAAUAAAUUGACUUUUAAUUGAGGUCUAGAAUGAAUGGAUAAAUGGAUAUAAGCUGUCUUUAUAAAAUUUAUCUAAACUUUCUUAAUAGGUGAAAAUUCCUUUAAGAAAAUCUAAGGGACGAGAAGACCCUAGGAGUUUAAAGGAGACUUUUGUUGGGGCAACAUUAUAGUAGUUAACCUAUAAUAUAAUAUUAAAUAUAACGAAAUAUAUUAAUUAAAAAUAAACUACCCUAGGGAUAACAGCAUAAUUUAUUAUUAAGUAAGUUUGUGACCUCGAUGUUGGACUAGGGACUUUAUUUAUUAAAUAUAACUAUUGACAUGUUCUGUUCGAACAUUUUAUACCUACAUGAUCUGA